AAGGCUCUAGUAUAACCAAUACAUGACCCCGUCAGCAUCAAAAUACAGACUUGACCCUGUGGGCCUUA
rnacentral:tRNA from 1 species